rnacentral:lncRNA from 1 species
GUUACCUUGUUUGAAACUUAAAUUAUGGCCUUUGUGAUGUUAAUUUUGUGACCCUGACGAUGAAGCGUUCGCUUCGAAAAGCUUCGGUCUAUAAGUUUUGUUGAUAAAAUGUAAGUUUUUUAGAGAAAUUUUACAUUAUUUCUAGCACUCGGCUACACUUCAAAUCCCAAUAUAUUCAGUGCUACUACCUUCAGACAUCGCAUUACAUCCUCGCUGAUUUUGAUUUUGAAUAAAAAUAAGUCAGUAAAAACAAUAAUAACUUGACAAAAGAAUUGUGAAUAGUGACUUACUGUUUGUUUGUCCUUCCUGGGGGAACUCUGUAGGGAAAUCUGAUAUUUGGGUAUUUCUGCCGGGAAAUUCUAAAUUGUGUUCGGCACUGACAUUAUCCACUAUCGCAGGAGGGCUUUCUGUUGGCGGUAAAAGUGGUGUUGGGAGUAAAGGUCCUUUCGGCGUUGUCCCGGUGUGUGUUCCUGCGGGUGUUGGGAGCGGCCCCUGUUUUGCAAAGGCUCCUUUCUUAGGUCCUUCCCUCACAACCGGCGUUGUCUCGGUGUGUGUUCCUGCGGGUGUCGGAGGCGGCCCCUGCUUUGCAAAGGCUCCUUUCUUAGGUCCUUUCCCUACAACCGGCAUUGUCCCGGCGUGUGUUCCCGCGGGUGUUGGAAGCGGCCCCUGCUUUGCAAAGGCUCCUCUCUUACGGGUCCGUUUUUUCUUUACAAUUUUUUUCUUCGCAGAAUUGACUAGUACGCGCUUUGCCUGUCCUGCUUUCGCGGGACCAACUUUCGUUGAAGCUGCUGCCGUUGUGGAGGCUCCUUGUGUCACGGACGGUUUUGGGACGACUUUCUUUGCUCCGUUUACCUUGGAGCUUGAGCAUGGAGCUGGCUUGACCUCGCCUGUUAUCGCUGAUGUGGUGCCUAAUAUUGGAAACAUAAUUAAAAAAAUUAGUGAAAUGCUCUGCCUUGAAAUGCUUAUGACUUUAAUCUGAGGGUGGAAUAGAUCCUCAUCUGAAAUCAAAAGUAAUUUGGAUUGCAUUUUGCAAAAAGGAACCACUAGCAUUGCAAUGAUGCUAAGAUUGUGCACCUUCAUCCUUUGCAAUGAAAUUGCGGAAAUCGUGAAAAACUAUGAAAUUUAGAUGGUAAUUUUUGUCUUAAAUUUACAGUUUUUAGCGAGUAAAAUAGAAACUAUUGAUGGAUAAUCGGGUUUUUUCUCCAAGACAAAAGGAGUUGCACAAUCUUAGCAACAUUGCAAUGCUAGUGGUCCCUUUUUGCAAAAUGCAAUCCAUUUAUGUAGUGUGCAUUAUUAGUAAGACAACAAUGCUUUGAGAGGUAAUCUUAGAGAAUUACUCCAAAAUACUCAUACGAUCAUCCAUGAAAAAAGGAAUCUAAGCGUGCAGGCAAAUUCUGAGGUUAUGUAAUAUUUAAAGAAGCAGUGUAAAAAAAUUAGAAAUUGAGUUUAAGGCAAAAACCCUUCCUCCAGUGUCUGAGAGAAUAGUCUGAGAGCUACUUUGUUAAUUUUUCUUUAUCAGCCAGGGUAAAAUCUCAUAACUUUCUGAUGACUCUGGGUUGCGAUUAGGUCACAUUGAAACUUUGAACAUAUUCAUUUGGAAACGCAGUUUUUUAAAAUGAAAACUUUGGACCGCAUAUCUCUUUGUUUGGUUUAACUUUUCUGUACCAAAAAAUUUGAAAAAUACUUAUUUAAGUAAAGUACUUGAUUUCGAGCUUAUUGCCACUAGGAUUCAUUAUAUCAUGAAAUAUCACAUUCAAUAUUCCAGUACCAGUUCAUUGGUUUAAUUCGAUAAUUGUCUGUCCCUUCAUAGAUGAUAAAUUCUGUCCAAAAACGCAGUUUCUAGGAUAAUGAACAGAAAUACUGCCUUACGAAUGUCAUACUGAAUGAAAUUGUUUCGCAGGGAGUGAUGUAUCAAUUAAUAUCAAGCAUAGGAACUUGGCAAUCUAUUGUUUUCAUUUUAUGCUUGUCCGUAAAAUUUUCCCAAUAUUUUUACUGCUUGUAUGAUCUAAUAAGGAAGUUUUUGAAUUCAUUCCUUAUUUUUAACAAUAAUUGCAGAAGGGUAAAAAACUAAAAAAUAAGCUCUGGAUGAAAAUUAAUAUUUUUUUUAACACACUGCAAUUUUCCAAAAGGACGUGAAUCUUUUCCUGUUACAAAAAGCUAGAAAUAUCGAGAGAAUAAAUGAAAAAUCACACGAAGAUUCAGAGAAAUUCUAUGAAAAUCAAAAACUUGCCCAGAUAUGUUGGGAGAAUAUGGACAAUUUUUUUAAACGCUGGGAAAAUUUGAAGAUCACAGUAAAAUUGUGAAGGUAUUGUUCCCAGAAGUGAGGGGGCUUACAGAACAACUGGAAGCGUUUUAAAACUUUCUAAUCCAUUAGGAAGAUUUGAAAACUUCCACAAACUAGGAAACCUCUUUUAUCUUUCAAAAAAACUAGGAAAAUUCAGAAAAUUUCAAAACUUUAAAAAAUUUGGAAGGUUCCAUUAAUGCUUAAAAAAGAGAAUGAAAGUCUCAUACUACCCUGCUAAGAAAUAACGCCGUCAGACAUUGUCAAGUUUCCUUCAAUAAAAAGUUAAUUUACUGGAAAAGUUGUGAAUAUUUUUUCCCAAAAUUUUCAGACUAUUUUGUACACAAUUUAAUCUAAGUUGUCUUAAAAUUUUAAGGAAAAAUGUGCACAAAUGUGAUUAAAAUUACAUGUUUUAUCAAGGGAAAUUUGGCGACUCUCAAAUGUUUACUCAGUGUUCUUCCUUAGCACAGCAGCAUGGCUUCCGCACUUUUUUGGAGAUUUCCUUAUUGGGCCUGUUGCAAUUUUUUGCUAGAGCAAAACUAAGAGUUGUUUCUAAUAGACAAUGCCUCAACAAUCACGAUGAGCGAAUCGGCAAAGUCUGAAAGGCACUCAUAACUUCACAAUCUGCGUAAGAAAUUUGCGGUUUUUUGAGCUUCCCGCUUCAAAAACGAUACUACGGCACAGGUGAACAUUUUGUUAGAGGAGUCGUUCCAUCCUCGGCAAUACUCAUCAUGGCCGACGACAAUCCGCCAAAACACUUGUGAUGGGACGAGAUAACACCUGAGCAGGAAAAGACCAGAUAACAAUUGGCGUGUUUACGUUCAUAUUUUCCUCGCCCGCCUUGAUUGACCUUGAACUCUCCUCGAAUUACGCGCGGAAAUGCGCAAGCGUCGGCCAUGAUGAAUAUUGCCGACGAUGGAGCGACUCCUCUAACAAAAUGUUCACCUGUGCCGUAGUAUCGUUUUUGAAGCGGGAAGCUCAAAAAACCGCAAAUUUCUUGCGCAGAUUGUGAAGUUAUCAGUGCAUUUCAAACUUUGCCGAUGCGUUCAUCGUGAUUUUUGAGGCAUUAUCUAUAGGAAACAACUCUUAAUUUUGCUCUAGCAAAAGUUUGCAACAGGCCCAUUUUACAGGUAGUCUGGAUUCUACUAUGGACCACUAGACAAGGUACGAAUUUCAGCAUUCUGAUACAUGUUCCCUAGCCAAAAUUUCACGUAAAACACGAUACGCACAACGAAAAUUACCGAAAUCAACUCCUUCCGAAGAUAUUUAAUGAUUCUUGAUGCGUGAAUUCAAACCACCCACUCAUGAAAACUCAAUGCUCUGCGUGAUUCACAUCCCGCGCUAUACGUUAUCAUGACAGUCUCUGCGAUAUAAAAAUCUGGCAACCUCAAUCUUGACGCUUUGGCUCAGCUGUAGCAAAUUGCUUAUAGUUUGAACAACACAUGGUGGGAAAUGAACAUUGCUCGAUAGAGAAGCUUGCAUGAAACCAUUGUAGUUCGCGAUUUGACUCGGGUAGAGCUUUGAGUUUCUUGUGAGCGGGCAGUUCAAAUUCCUCGUAACCAAUGUGAAAUAAAACGUUAAUAUCUUCGUUAGGAGUUGGUUUCAGUCAUUAUCGUUGCGCGAGUCGUGUUCUAAGUGAAAUUCUGGUUAAGAAACAUGUAUCAGAGUCCUUUAACUUGUAACUUGUCUAGUGGUCCAUUCCAUAUUUUCUGUACCCUUAUUUCUUAGUAACAAAUAUUUUCUGUACCAUUUUGAAUCUGAUCUGAGGGUUGUGCUUGAGCUGAGGAGGGUUGUGUUGGAGCUGAAGAGGGUUGUGCUGGAGCUGAGGAUACAGCUACAGCCAAAUUUGAAGCUGGAGCUGAAAGGAGCUGUUUGUUAGGAGCCGUGUUCUCCAGUUCUUCCAAUACCAAGUUGACAUCAAUGUAUUUUUCAACAUCGUGGUCCUGCGGCCUGAAGGGGAGAUCGACAGCUUUUUCCAGCGAAAUAUUCCAGACGUUCCCUGGUAACGGCACAUUCCAUGAUAAACCUGAUUGUAAGAAAAACAGAAUGUAAAAACACUGUUUGCUGAUUGCCAGGUGGAUUGCAUUUUGCAAAAAGGAACCACUAGCAUUGCAAUGAUGCUAAGAUUGUGCAACUUCAUCCUUUGCAAUAAAAUUGCGGAAAUCGUGAAAAACUAUGAAAUUUAGAUGGUAAUUUUUUUUGUCUUAAAUUUACAGUUUUUAGUGAGUAAAAUAGAAACUAUUAAUGGAUAAUCGGGUUUUUCCUCCAAGACAAAAGAAGUUGCACAAUCUUAGCAACAUUGCAAUGCUAGUGGUUCCUUUUUGCAAAAUGCAAUCCAGAUGAUACUUAGAUUGCAUUUUGUAAAAAGGAACCAAGAGCGUUCCAGUGUCGCUAAGAGUGCUUACCUUUUUUUACCUUGCAAAUAUAAACUGAUCAUCUAAACAAGUUUUAUCUUUACUUCCAACAGGGUGUCUAGUAUUUUGUAAUUUUGAAAAAUCCUGAUAUUUUCCUGAUA